GAUGAACGCUGGCGGCGUGCCUAAUACAUGCAAGUCGAGCGAACAGACGAGGAGCUUGCUCCUCUGACGUUAGCGGCGGACGGGUGAGUAACACGUGGAUAACCUACCUAUAAGACUGGGAUAACUUCGGGAAACCGGAGCUAAUACCGGAUAAUAUAUUGAACCGCAUGGUUCAAUAGUGAAAGACCGUUUUGCUGUCACUUAUAGAUGGAUCCGCGCCGCAUUAGCUAGUUGGUAAGGUAACGGCUUACCAAGGCAACGAUGCGUAGCCGACCUGAGAGGGUGAUCAGCCACACUGGAACUGAGACACGGUCCAGACUCCUACGGGAGGCAGCAGUAGGGAAUCUUCCACAAUGGGCGAAAGCCUGACGGAGCAACGCCGCGUGAGUGAUGAAGGUCUUCGGAUCGUAAAACUCUGUUAUUAGGGAAGAACAAAUGUGUAAGUAACUAUGCACGUCUUGACGGUACCUAAUCAGAAAGCCACGGCUAACUACGUG
rnacentral:rRNA from 1 species